rnacentral:lncRNA from 1 species
GACAGAGACCCCAGCUCCUAGUAGUAGAAGCCAGAUGAAGGCUUCUAAACAUGACACCUUCAUCUGGAUUCUGGUAACCUUAACCACUGGGCAUAACUGCCUCAUGCCUCGUCUGCCAUCAAACCCGGCCACUGUUGAGUUGAUUGCUGUACUCUUGCCUGGUCAAAGUAAGAUCUUCUGGGCCUGGUGACUGAAGACCAAUGCUGGCCUGAGACCUCCACCUCCCCCCAAGCCAUCGUAGCCACAGAGCCUAGGGUGAUCAUCUCGAUAAUGACUUGUAUCUGUCUCAGCAGAUUUCCACUGAGACAGAUUUCAGAUGACAGGCACCACCCAGGAAUCAGCUGCAGACUACAGACUGAUCCAGAUGGCUUGGAGCCCUGGACUUGCCGAAAGCUGACAUGGACCAAGCCAGCUGAUUCGGAUUGCUCCCUGUCUCUCCAGCUGGGUCAGCUCACCAGAUGCUUCUAAUGAAUGCUCCAUUUCCUGAAUCUGAGGACAACAUCUUAAUUUCAGCAUGAAGUAGUUAAAGAGAGUAGAGUAUGCUACCCUGUGUCCUCAACAGGCUGUGAUGUUAGGUCAAAAGGACCUGGCACAGGGGACAAAACGGCUGCCUAUCUUGCCCACUGGCAUACCAGGAAAGGCUCCUCCUGGAUAGUAACUGAUGUCAGCCAAUGCAGGGCCUUUGACCUUUCUGUUUCUACUAAUUACUGUUGCCCCUGGCAUCAUUAAUGCCUUAACUUGAUGAUAAUUCUCAUCUGGGUACCAUUAAGCUGAUGGUUAUUAGAUCCCAGUGUAAACAGGUACCUGCCACAGAGUCGAGGAUUUGACUCAGGAUACAACCCAAGGGGGAUUGACUCAGCACCAUUUUCUGGGAAUCUCAGAAUACUCGAGACCAGAGUCCACCACCUUGG